rnacentral:rRNA from 1 species
UACGAAGGGGGCUAGCGUUGUUCGGAAUUACUGGGCGUAAAGCGUAUGUAGGCGGAUCUUUAAGUCAGGGGUGAAAUCCCGAGGCUCAACCUCGGAACUGCCUUUGAUACUGGGGAUCUUGAGUCCGGGAGAGGUUAGUGGAACUGCGAGUGUAGAGGUGAAAUUCGUAGAUAUCUGGAGGAACACCGGUGGCGAAGGCGGCAUCCUGGACCGGCAUUGACGCUGAGGAGCGAAAGCCAGGGGAGCAAACGGG